rnacentral:rRNA from 1 species
AACAAACGCUGGCGGCGUGCCUAAUACAUGCAAGUCGAACGGGGAAAGCUUUCGGGUGAGUACUAGUGGCGCACGGGUGAGGAACGUGUGGAUAAUCUGCCUUAGAGUGGGGGAUAACUAGUCGAAAGAUUAGCUAAUACCGCAUAAGACCACGAGAGCUGCGGCUUUUGAGGUCAAAGGUUUUUCGCUCUAAGAUGAGUCCGCGUAAGAUUAGCUAGUUGGUGAGGUAACGGCUCACCAAGGCGACGAUCUUUAACUGGUCUGAGAGGAUGAUCAGUCACACUGGAACUGAGACACGGUCCAGACUCCUACGGGAGGCAGCAGUAGGGAAUAUUGCACAAUGGAGGAAACUCUGAUGCAGCGACGCCGCGUGAGUGAUGAAGGCCUUCGGGUCGUAAAGCUCUGUCGCAGGGGAAUAACACAAUGAAGGUACCCUGUAAGAAAGGAUCGGCUAACUUCGUG